AUGUUGGGCUUUCAACAUGCAACAGACGUCUCUGUGCAUGUGCAGCGUGAAACACAAUCCUUCCUCCUGCUCACAUGUGGAGCUGCUGGCAGUUCUUCAGCUAUCAGGUACAGUGUUAACAGCAAACGUGUGCCUGAAUGUGCAACAUCCAUGUUCCUCUACAUGCUAAUCUUCAUGGCGUAUCAUAGCAGCAGAUGGAUACCGAAGAAUCAGAGAUUAAAGUUUCAGAUAGUGAAUGCAGUGUUCACGGCACUUGUUCUGGUCCCUCAGUUCUACGUCAUGGGAAGGCCAAAAUCCUCAAGAUACUGCAGGCAACCUCUUCUGAACAACCUGUCGGCCUCCAUCGCCUUGUCCUUCAUAGCUUCAGGUUUUUCAGUGAUAUUCACAUUAAUAGAACCGGUUCCUCAGAGCUUGUGGGCUGCCUAUCAUGUGUUCGGGCUGCUGACGUGCGGACAAGGAUUAUGCACUGCCAUCCUGACUCUGACAGCAGCAGCAUGUGCCAAAACCACCCCUGAGCUGUACUACAUGUCCCUUAUUCUAACAGUCGCUUCUAUUUUCAGUACAGGUUUUUUCACGGUGCGAGGAGGACUCUGGUUGACUAACAGGCUGUCUGUCACAGACCAGAGCAGAAACAAUGAGCGAUAA
rnacentral:lncRNA from 15 species